rnacentral:rRNA from 1 species
CACCGGCGCCACAAGUGGUCAUCACGAUUAUUGGGCCUAAAGCGUCCGUAGCUGGUGCGGUGCAUCCCUUGUGAAAUCGUUCGGCUUAACCGAACGGCGCGCAGGGGACACGGCCGCGCUCGAGACCGGGAGGGGGCAGAAGUAUUCCAUAGGGACCGGUAAAAUGGGAUAAUCUAUGGAGGACUACCGAUGGCGAAGGCAUCUGCCCAGAACGGAUCUGACAGUGAGGGACGAAAGCCAGGGGAGCGAACCGG